rnacentral:rRNA from 1 species
AUGAACGCUAGCUACAGGCUUAACACAUGCAAGUCGAGGGGCAGCAUGGUCUUAGCUUGCUAAGACUGAUGGCGACCGGCGCACGGGUGAGUAACACGUAUCCAACCUGCCGUCUACUCUUGGACAGCCUUCUGAAAGGAAGAUUAAUACAAGAUGGCAUCAUGAGUCCGCAUGUUCACAUGAUUAAAGGUAUUCCGGUAGACGAUGGGGAUGCGUUCCAUUAGAUAGUAGGCGGGGUAACGGCCCACCUAGUCUUCGAUGGAUAGGGGUUCUGAGAGGAAGGUCCCCCACAUUGGAACUGAGACACGGUCCAAACUCCUACGGGAGGCAGCAGUGAGGAAUAUUGGUCAAUGGGCGAGAGCCUGAACCAGCCAAGUAGCGUGAAGGAUGACUGCCCUAUGGGUUGUAAACUUCUUUUAUAAAGGAAUAAAGUCGGGUAUGCAUACCCGUUUGCAUGUACUUUAUGAAUAAGGAUCGGCUAACUCCGUGCCAGCAGCCGCGGUAAUACGGAGGAUCCGAGCGUUAUCCGGAUUUAUUGGGUUUAAAGGGAGCGUAGAUGGAUGUUUAAGUCAGUUGUGAAAGUUUGCGGCUCAACCGUAAAAUUGCAGUUGAUACUGGAUAUCUUGAGUGCAGUUGAGGCAGGCGGAAUUCGUGGUGUAGCGGUGAAAUGCUUAGAUAUCACGAAGAACUCCGAUUGCGAAGGCAGCCUGCUAAGCUGCAACUGACAUUGAGGCUCGAAAGUGUGGGUAUCAAACAGGAUUAGAUACCCUGGUAGUCCACACGGUAAACGAUGAAUACUCGCUGUUUGCGAUAUACGGCAAGCGGCCAAGCGAAAGCGUUAAGUAUUCCACCUGGGGAGUACGCCGGCAACGGUGAAACUCAAAGGAAUUGACGGGGGCCCGCACAAGCAGUGGAGUAUGUGGUUUAAUUCGAAGCAACGCGAAGAACCUUACCAGGUCUUGACAUCCGAUGCAUAGCGCAGAGAUGCGUGAAGUCCUUCGGGACAUCGAGACAGGUGGUGCAUGGUUGUCGUCAGCUCGUGUCGUGAGAUGUUGGGUUAAGUCCCGCAACGAGCGCAACCCUUAUCGAUAGUUACCAUCAGGUUAUGCUGGGGACUCUGUCGAGACUGCCGUCGUAAGAUGUGAGGAAGGUGGGGAUGACGUCAAAUCAGCACGGCCCUUACGUCCGGGGCUACACACGUGUUACAAUGGGGGGUACAGAGGGCCGCUACCACGCGAGUGGAUGCCAAUCCCAAAAACCUCUCUCAGUUCGGACUGGAGUCUGCAACCCGACUCCACGAAGCUGGAUUCGCUAGUAAUCGCGCAUCAGCCACGGCGCGGUGAAUACGUUCCCGGGCCUUGUACACACCGCCCGUCAAGCCAUGGGAGCCGGGGGUACCUGAAGUGCGUAACCGCGAGGAGCGCCCUAGGGUAAAACUGGUGACUGGGGCU